CUUUUUAUGAUUUUUACCCCAUAAAUUUAUUCAUAAUAGUUUGCAUUUGUAU
rnacentral:antisense_RNA from 1 species